rnacentral:lncRNA from 13 species
GGUCCCAGCUUUGUUGAUGUCUCGUCAUUGUUGGUAAUCAGACCUACUACUGUUGUGUAGUAUAGUAUUUAAAUUCCCUCUUUACAAAAUCUGCACUAAUUCAUGAACACACGCGUGUACGUUUACAUAAAAUAUCACACUUCUAUGAAACAAAUGUUUCCCCCCCCAAAAUAAAAUAAAUACUACCGCGUUACCCACUCCAGUCAGCAGAUGGCAGAUGUGCAGAUUUCAGGCGAUACUUCUAGUGUGACGUCUAAUGUAGUGGACGGGACACUUCAUCAACAGUAACAACCGUUCGUCGGCCACCUCCGUAUCCAACAUUAUCGAAAACAGUCACUGUGUUUUAAACAUACUUCUGUCGUGUCUACUUGUUUGCCCAUUUAAUGUAACGUUAAUAGUUACGUUGUUUGUCAGGUAGCUAGCUUGCUAAAUUAGUUUUGCACUAGGCUAAUCGCUAAUGCUAAGUAGCUAGCUAGUUAACAUCCCCGACCAUGAGUUCACUAAGCUACUCCACUCCUGCUGAAGAAGAAGAGGUCUGCUGGACGGAGAAAGAAGAAGAGGCUGACACAGUUAAACAAGAAGUAGAGGAUGAGUCUGUUACUGUGAAAGAAGAAGCGAUUGAAGCUUUCAGAGUGAAAGAAGAGGAGGCUGUUACAGUGAAAGAAGAGGAGGCUGUUACAGUGAAAGAAGAGGAGGCAGUUACAGUGAAAGAAGAGGAGGCUGUUACAGUGAAAGAAGAGGAGGCUGUUACUGUGAAAGAAGAGGAGGCUGUUACUGUGAAAGAAGCUUUCAGAGUGAAAGAGGAGGAUGUUACUGUUAAACAAGAGGAGGAAGAAGUUUUUGGAGUGAAGAUGGAGGGGCAGAUUACUGUCACGUUGAAAGAGGAAGAAGAGGAGGGGCAGAUUACUGUCACGUUGAAAGAGGAAGAAGAGGAGGGGCAGAUUACUGUCACGUUGAAAGAGGAGGAAGAGGAGGGGCAGAUUACUGUCACGUUGAAAGAGGAGGAAGAGGAGACGGGAGAUCUGAGUAACACCAGUAAGUAG